UACGUAGGGGGCAAGCGUUGUCCGGAUUUAUUGGGCGUAAAGAGCGUGUAGGCGGUCUGGUAGGUCCGCUGUGAAAACUCGAGGCUCAACCUCGAGACGCCGGUGGAAACCAUCAGACUAGAGUCCGGAAGAGGAGAGUGGAAUUCCCGGUGUAGAGGUGAAAUUCGUAGAUAUCGGGAGGAACACCAGUGGCGAAGGCGGCGACCUGGACAGUUCCUGACGCUGAGGCACGAAGGCCAGGGGAGCAAACGGG
rnacentral:rRNA from 1 species